GACGAACGCUGGCGGCGUGCUUAACACAUGCAAGUCGAACGGAAAGGCCCUGCUUUUGUGGGGUGCUCGAGUGGCGAACGGGUGAGUAACACGUGAGUAACCUGCCCUUGACUUUGGGAUAACUUCAGGAAACUGGGGCUAAUACCGGAUAGGAGCUCCUGCCGCAUGGUGGGGUUGGAAAGUUUCGGCGGUUGGGGAUGGACUCGCGGCUUAUCAGCUUGUUGGUGGGGUAGUGGCUUACCAAGGCUUUGACGGGUAGCCGGCCUGAGAGGGUGACCGGCCACAUUGGGACUGAGAUACGGCCCAGACUCCUACGGGAGGCAGCAGUGGGGAAUAUUGCACAAUGGGCGGAAGCCUGAUGCAGCAACGCCGCGUGCGGGAUGACGGCCUCGGUUGUAACCGCUUCGCCUGUGUCGAAGCGUGAGUGACGGUAA
rnacentral:rRNA from 1 species